CAAUAGCGUAUAUUUAAGUUGCUGCAGUUAAAAAGCUCGUAGUUGGAUUUCGGGUGGGAAUGGCCGGUCCGCCGUUUCGGUGUGCACUUGCUACGCCCACCUUGCUGCCGGGGACGUGCUCUUGAGUUCACGCUCGGGACACGGAGUCGGCGAGGUUACUUUGAGUAAAUUAGAGUGUUCAAAGCAGGCCUACGCUCUGAAUACAUUAGCAUGGAAUAACACGAUAGGACUCUGGCCUAUCUUGUUGGUCUGUAGGACCGGAGUAAUGAUUAAGAGGGACAGUUGGGGGCAUUUGUAUUUCGUCGCUAGAGGUGAAAUUCUUAGAUUGACGAAAGACAAACUGCUGCGAAAGCGUCUGCCAAGGAUGUUUUCAUUGA
rnacentral:rRNA from 1 species